AUAUUUAUAAAGCACCUCCUCCUCUUCACGUUCUUAGAACAGAUAAAGAGGUAUCACAAGUACUUACCUCCUUUAUGCU
rnacentral:sRNA from 1 species